CAUGAUCCCAUUUUUUUUUUUUUUUUUUUUAAAGGAAUACUCCGCUAAAAAUCAAAGUUCAAACAUUGUGGGACGCUUCCAAAUAAGAAUCCUCCAUCAGAAGCCAGAUUAAAACCCAGAAUGAGGGAUGGAUCGGUCGCCAUAGAGACAGCCGACGAGGCGAGAGAUUAAAGGACAAAAGAAUGGACAGGUGGAGGGACAGUUGGACAUUCAGAUGGAAGGAUGAACAGACUGGAUGACAAAUGGAUGGAUGGACAGACCUCCUGACCAAAAAGCCGCCAUGUGGAAACCCCAGUAGCCAAUCAAAAGGCUCCUCCUCCUCCUCAGGAUGAAGACCAGAUAGACCUGCUGUUGGGAUAAAACCAUCCGCCUUCUGGUGGGAAGCAUGAUGUCAACCAGCUGCUGCAUGAUUGUUCAUUUCAUUUAGAGAACAGACUCAUCUGGAAAACAUUUCACCAGUUUCUGCCUCCAAACUGAACAUUUAAGGUUCACCUUUACCAACAGAUUAAAUAAUAUCCAGAAAAACAUCAACACAACUCAAAUUAUCAGGGAUUUCAUCACUUUUUGUUACCCAAAAGUAAAAAGAAGAAGAAGAAAUUUACUUUUUGAACAAUACAGAGGAGGGUUUUUUUUUUUUUGGGUGUGUUGGCCUCAGCAGGGGCCAAACCUGCCAGGCUGUAUUACGCAACCCUGCAGAAUUACCCCUUUUACCCCCUCCAUCUCUUAACAAGAGCUACGUGACCAGACUCUCCCUCCCUCCGCUCUGCGGUCCGGCUGCUCCCCCUGAAGCCAGGCGUGGAGGAUGGAGAGGAGGCAGGAGGAGUUCGGCGGAAACGCAGCGACACCUCUGCACCCCGAGGGGGAAACACUCUGUUCGCACCAGACAGGCAACGCGUGGGGGAGGGGGGAUGAUGCAGCAGAUUUCCAGCCGAAACAUACAGACUGCUGCAUCUCAUUAUGCAACGCUGAGCGCAUGAAAGAGGAAAACGUCUGGUAGCAAUUACUUCAUUUUUUCCCCCCUGAAUGUACCAGGAACUGGUUGGAGAACAAGAGCUGGAGCUCUAGUCCUGCAGCCAAAGCGCGGCUCGGGGGCCCAUUAGUGGACCUUCGUAUGAUUCUGUUUGGCCCCUGAGCUCAAGUCGACAGUAGCUGCGCUUCCUUUACAAAUUUACGCAAAACUUUGUUGAUAUUCCUAUAAAGUUGGGGGGAAAAAAAAAAAACAAUUUAGAAAUUGCCGUCUUUCCAUUAAAUUGACAGUAUUUUGUGUUUUCCAGGCACAAAGCGCCAUUUUAUUGCUUUAAGUAACUGUGUGACCUUCAGUUGUUCAGCUGAUUUAGUGCCUUUAAAUUGGGCCUCUGUCUGUCUUUCUCUAAAAAACUGCCUUCAGGAAGUCAUCACAACAUGGCUACAUUAUUAACCCUUUAACACUUUUACCAGCAUUUCGAUUGUAUAAUGAGCUCAGCCAGGUGUUCACUAAUUACAGCUGGCUAGUCUGAAGGAGCUGAGUGAAGAGGGCUGCUGUGAGGUGGAAACUCGUCAUCUUGGAAACUGCAGCUCAGAGGCGGAGCUGCAGCUCAGAGGCGGAGCUAGGUCCACCCAGGCGUUAUGCACAGCUGCAUGGUUGCCAUAUUGUGACCUUCCUGUACUAUUGUAUCCAGUCUGUAUGAUGAUGCUCAAUUACCUCUGUUGUUUUGAGAAACAGUUUUUUAUUGUUAUUUUGGUUUAAUUCAACUUUUUAUUUUGUUUUUCCAUUUCUCCAACUUUCAAUAGUUGUAGCCCCUAAAAUGAGCUUAUAGUUUUAUGCAUAAAUAAGCUUGUUUAAAUUGAUUUUCCAUAAAAAUAUUUUGAUUUCCCCCAGAAAUCUGGCUAAGCGAAGUGGUAGGGCAGUGGGGAAGUUCAUCAUUUGUCCCACUGUGUUUUAGUGUCAAAAAAUGUCAAGUUGACAGACAAUUUUAUAAAUAAAUCAUAAACAACAAUGAAAAUACAGAAAUGGCAAAAUAAAAAUACCGUUUCUGUAGGCCUGUCACAGAGACAAACUUUUCUGGA